rnacentral:rRNA from 1 species
AGAGUUUGAUCCUGGCUCAGAUUGAACGCUGGCGGCAUGCCUAACACAUGCAAGUCGCGCGGAGUGUAGCAAUACACUUAGCGGCGGACGGGUGAGGAAUACAUAGGAAUUUGCCUUUAGGUGGGGGAUAGCCCAGGGAAACUUGGAGUAAUACCGCAUGAUGUCGUGAGACCAAAGCCGGGGACCGCAAGGCCUGGCGCCUUUAGAGAAGCCUAUGUCUGAUUAGCUAGUUGGUAGGGUAAUGGCCUACCAAGGCAACGAUCAGUAGCUGGUCUGAGAGGACGAUCAGCCACACCGGAACUGAGACACGGUCCGGACACCUACGGGUGGCAGCAGUGGGGAAUAUUGGACAAUGGGCGCAAGCCUGAUCCAGCAAUGCCGCGUGUGUGAAGAAGGCCUUCGGGUUGUAAAGCACUUUAAGCUGGGAAGAAAAAAUCGGAACUAACAUUUCCGGUCUUGACGGUACCAGAAGAAUAAGCACCGGCUAACUCUGUGCCAGCAGCCGCGGUAAUACAGAGGGUGCAAGCGUUAAUCGGAUUUACUGGGCGUAAAGGGUGUGUAGGUGGUUUGGCAAGUCGGUUGUGAAAUCCCCGGGCUCAACCUGGGAAUUGCUUCCGAGACUGCUUGACUAGAGUACGGUAGAGGGCGGUGGAAUUUCCGGUGUAGCGGUGAAAUGCGUAGAUAUCGGAAGGAACACCAAUGGCGAAGGCAGCCGCCUGGGCCUGUACUGACACUGAGACACGAAAGCGUGGGGAUCAAACAGGAUUAGAUACCCUGGUAGUCC